rnacentral:rRNA from 1 species
GAUGAACGCUGGCGGCGUGCCUAAUACAUGCAAGUCGAGCGAACGGACGAGAAGCUUGCUUCUCUGAUGUUAGCGGCGGACGGGUGAGUAACACGUGGAUAACCUACCUAUAAGACUGGGAUAACUUCGGGAAACCGGAGCUAAUACCGGAUAAUAUUUUGAACCGCAUGGUUCAAAAGUAAAAGACGGUCUUGCUGUCACUUAUAGAUGGAUCCGCGCUGCAUUAGCUAGUUGGUAAGGUAACGGCUUACCAAGGCAACGAUGCAUAGCCGACCUGAGAGGGUGAUCGGCCACACUGGAACUGAGACACGGUCCAGACUCCUACGGGAGGCAGCAGUAGGGAAUCUUCCGCAAUGGGCGAAAGCCUGACGGAGCAACGCCGCGUGAGUGAUGAAGGUCUUCGGAUCGUAAAACUCUGUUAUUAGGGAAGAAUAUAUGUGUAAGUAACUGUGCACAUCUUGACGGUACCUAAUCAGAAAGCCACGGCUAACUACGUGCCAGCAGCCGCGGUAAUACGUAGGUGGCAAGCGUUAUCCGGAAUUAUUGGGCGUAAGCGCGCGUAGGCGGUUUUUUAAGUCUGAUGUGAAAGCCCACGGCUCAACCGUGGAGGGUCAUUGGAAACUGGAAAACUUGAGUGCAGAAGAGGAAAGUGGAAUUCCAUGUGUAGCGGUGAAAUGCGCAGAGAUAUGGAGGAACACCAGUGGCGAAGGCGACUUUCUGGUCUGUAACUGGCGCUGAUGUGCGAAAGCGUGGGGAUCAAACAGGAUUAGAUACCCUGGUAGUCCACGCCGUAAACGAUGAGUGCUAAGUGUUAGGGGGUUUCCGCCCCUUAGUGCUGCAGCUAACGCAUUAAGCACUCCGCCUGGGGAGUACGACCGCAAGGUUGAAACUCAAAGGAAUUGACGGGGACCCGCACAAGCGGUGGAGCAUGUGGUUUAAUUCGAAGCAACGCGAAGAACCUUACCAAAUCUUGACAUCCUUUGACAACUCUAGAGAUAGAGCCUUCCCCUUCGGGGGACAAAGUGACAGGUGGUGCAUGGUUGUCGUCAGCUCGUGUCGUGAGAUGUUGGGUUAAGUCCCGCAACGAGCGCAACCCUUAAGCUUAGUUGCCAUCAUUAAGUUGGGCACUCUAAGUUGACUGCCGGUGACAAACCGGAGGAAGGUGGGGAUGACGUCAAAUCAUCAUGCCCCUUAUGAUUUGGGCUACACACGUGCUACAAUGGACAAUACAAAGGGCAGCGAAACCGCGAGGUCAAGCAAAUCCCAUAAAGUUGUUCUCAGUUCGGAUUGUAGUCUGCAACUCGACUACAUGAAGCUGGAAUCGCUAGUAAUCGUAGAUCAGCAUGCUACGGUGAAUACGUUCCCGGGUCU